UGUGAGAGUGAUGAGUUGCACUAAUCAGUUGGGGUGUUUGCUGCAGUGGCAUCAGCAUCCCAAUCCGAUCCGAUAUGAGGAGACAAAAUGUGCGCUGGGGCCAUCUGACUACACC
ensembl:snoRNA